ensembl:lncRNA
GUUUGAAGCCGAGCGGCAGCGAGAUGAGGAGGAAUAUGUCGGCGUGAGGACGUGUUUUUUCUUUUCUUUCUUCGUGCUCCACGACAGCCCAAAACAAAAAGGACUCCUAUCGGGACAAACCAAACGGACUCCACCAGGCGCCAUUCGUGGUUCUUUUCCCCGUGUAGAGCCUGUGGGAGAAGUUUCAGUUGGCUGCAAUCUGCAAGCUGACCGCUAGAUGUCUCAAGUGACCCUUGUCUCAGUGGUCUGGGGGGGGGGACACCAGCUAAGUGUUGCUGAAAGGCCAGAUCUGUUGAAAGGAUGUGUAUUCAUUGGCAUUUGUGUGAAGUGUUUUGUACGAUUGUGCAAGUAAGUCCUCCCGCAACCUUGGUCGGCCUCUAUGAAACACCAGUUUUUGUGAAGCUACAUCGAACAUAUGACUAACUUGGGGACAAAUCAAAUGAAUGAAAUGACAGCGGCUCGACCAAAUUUCCACCCCACA